UUAGGGGUGCGCAGGGACUUCAGGGGGGUUUGUGUUCCGAAACUUGGGGAAGGUUGUCAAUAAGAGGGAGAGGGAAGUGUGCGAGGAAGCCGUGGUGGGCCGAGGGCAGGCAGUGUUGCGGGAUCGGCGUGGGAAACAGUGUCAGGAGGCCAAAGCGGAGGGACGAUCCUGGUCUGUAAGGCUGCACCCUUGGUAGCUCUUGGCCCCCACACCUAAGCCUCCAGCCUUUUCCCUUGUGAAAUACAAUCCUGGAGCUCCUGGGAGGCUUAGCGCUGCCCAAGACCUGAGGGCAGGGCAAGGAAGGCUUUCCAGCAGUGGAGUAAAAAGGAAGUGGUGCUAAUGAAGGCCCUAACGAGUCGCAGGAGAAGCUUCCAGCUCCCGCCUUUGGACAGCACUGACAGGGAAGGCAAGGCAACAAGACACGCCUUUUCUGCUCUGCUCGCUCAACUCAGAGGACUGGUUCCUGCUCGGCCUCUGAGGUGCACCGGAUCCCGGUCCUCAGGCUACGAGAUCUGCCCGCCCCCGCCGUCGAGCAACGGGGCUCCAGGCGCUCUGCACCCAAUCGGAGCCCGGCCCCGCCUGCAGCCCGCCCUCCGCCCAGUCCUUCUGGGCUAGGCUCAACCCCUGCAGCUCUCUCGGCGUGGCUCCGCCUCCAACCCGGGCCGAGCUUGGGCUGAGCCUAACUUCGCCUUCGUUCCGCCCUCGAGCCAAUCAGCGGCCCCAUAUCUCCUAUGGCCCCGCCUUCGGCCCUGCCCCAGCCCAGUCCCAGGCCUGACUCU